UGGCGCGGCCUCCCUUGCCCAGCAGGGGCCAGAGGCCUUUCUUUUAGGCCCUUUCUUUCUUCUGGGGCUUUCUUCUGGGGCUUUCUUCUGGGGCUCCGCUGGCCUGCACUGAGAUUGUGAGGGGUCAGGCAGAAAGUGCACAAACACUGGGGUUUGCAUGAUGGGUGGUAUGAUCCGGACUCUGCGGACGCUCUGGCAGGCGGGGCCUCAGGCACCCCACACGCAGGUGUUUCUCAUUGCAGGCUUCCCUGCGCCCAGGCGUGGAAAUCUCAAUAUCCCGCCAGAUCUGGCUUCGCUCCAGGAAGAGUGGUGAGGGCUGCAGAGCCUGGGGCCCCAGUCUGCGGUUCUCUGGGUCUUCUCUGUCACUCAGCCCACCCUCUCCCUGUCGCCUCGCCUGGACCCACUUACACCCGAAGGCACAAAGAGCGCUGUGUGGGCUCCAACUGCACUCUCUUGGAAAAAAUACGUGCCUAUCUACGAACCUCCCUUUGAAUACACCUGGACCAGUUUCUACUGUCAGAUCCUGGAUAAAGGACAAUAAAGAAAAAUUCACAUUUUGAAAAAUAAGCAGAAUGCCGAAGAUGCCAAUUCAAGAAGCUCCUGACAAUUGCCAAUCUACUUUGCCACAAGAUAGAAAUCAGAUGCCAGGAGUCCUUCAGGACAUCCCCUACUGUGUGUCAGCGGCAUGAACAUCAGUUUUCAUCGUGUGGACAGACAGAAAGAAAGUCCCAAGUGAGGAGAAUGUCUAAAACUGGAGGUGGAUUGAUUGAUAAAGUAACAAAGAGCAGAAUGUGUACUUCGAACUCAGCUACCAGCAUCUAUGUCCAUCCAUUCAACAGAUAUUGACUGAACAUAUAUAUGCCAGGGCCCUGAGGUUUCCCACCACCAGGAAUGCUCACAGCAUGGAUGACUGACACCCAGGGAGUUUGGGAACUGAGGAGGAUCUUUUUCCCACGUCAUUCAACCUCCUCCUGGAUUCUGAGGAAAUCAGAGCAACUGUAAGCAAGGGACCCCAGCCACCACAAGAACCCUAGGCCUCCUGGGCCAACCUCAGCAACUUCCUUUCCCUUCAACUAAACUCAGGGGACAGGAACACUUGGACCCUUUUGGCAGAUUUAUAUAGUGUUCACCAGGCCCAGGAAUCUCCUUGAGUGCCCAAUAAAACAAGGUAUUUUUGCUCUUGUUUUAUUCCCAGGACCUAGACUUUCAUUACAAAAUAAAAUUUAGAAAUAAAAAUAAAGCUUCCUUCACUCCUGGGGCUUCUACCCUCUUUGCCUAUGAGCUGCCCUGCCCUUCUGGUUCUCAGGCUCUUGGUCUGUAACUCUCAGGAUUUCCAACUUCCUGCCUCUUCCCCAAACUGAUGCCACUUUCCCAGGCACUGGGAGUCACGUCUGAAAGGGUCAGUCCCCGGAAUUCCUUGUGGUAACAGCGGGGAGACAGCCACUCCUGUCUGUUAAUUGGCACAGGAAAUGAGCAAAGUUGAAUGUGGUUCUCCUGUGAUUAGAAACCUUUUAAAACAACAAGCAUGGCUGAAUCUUUCCUUCAAAGAGGGUUUAGAGUGGGUCGAGAAACCUGAGAAGUAUCUAGGUGACUUAAUGAAAAAGUUAGAUUGGAGUCUUUUCAUUUUGUAGAGUGAAAAUGUAAAACAAAACAAGAAGUGAAACAUUCCUAAAUGUUAGAGACUCAUGAGUCUCCCUCACACUUCUCUCUGGUGUUGCUAAAAUAAAUCAUACAGAACACAUCCCAUUUAGUUUCCUUUCCCAUUCAUCCUCCUUUCCCUCAUGUCUUCAUAGCGGGCCUUUUAAGGAUCUGAGAGUCUUUUUAAGUGCUGCCUCCUCCCGAUUUUGCUCUCUGACAGAUGUUGAUUUUAAUGAUUCCCCCUUCUUAGGUUUCAAAACCAUCAGGGUGUUUGUUCUUGUAACUAAAAAUUAAACUGGAAUAAAACUUGUUUUAUUUCAGAGAGAUCUAGGGAGGAGUUGAGAAGGCCUACCUACAAUGUUAUUAAGAUAUGAAGAAAAUAGUAUGUGCACAGAGGCAUGCACCCUACCUUUUACCACCUUCGGUAGAAUCCACUCACACUUUUGCUUAUACAGCUAUACACUUAUAUUUUCUUUGUUCCCUAAGUGCUUAACUCAGUCCUGAGCACAGAGUAAGCACUUAAUACACUUUUGCUGAUGUGAAUUGAAGGCCUGGGGUAUUUCCUACAGAUUAAGCAAUUUUGACACCAUAAUCCCUAAAUAAUUCCCAGGAAGUGCCUUGCACAAUGGUUUCUAUUGCAGGCACAUUAGGACUCUUGAUUCCUGUCUUUUGCUGUUUGUUUCUGGUUCAUGUGUCAAGCCACUCACUCACUACCUCUUGGUUCAGUUCUUUAGAUAGUCAGAGGAAAAUGAGUGAUAAGUCUGGGGCAGGGCAUUUUUAUUCUCCAUGUCUCAGAAACUAGAUUGCAAAGCAGAGAAUUUGUCCUCUUUGCUGAGUAAUAUAAUGAUUAUCACCCACAAAUAUUUGGAGAGGGGUGGUCAAAUGCAGCAAGAAGAGAUGAAGGUACUUUCAAUAGAAAUGAAACAGUUCCAAUUCUGAGGCCUACUCUGAGCAUGGGGAAAUGUGGGUGAAAUAUUAUAGCAGCAACAGGAAUGCUUAUUGAACUGUGAAAAGCAUUUGCUACAUAAAGAGGGCCUUAAUUCCUUUGAUGUUAUCAGGGAGGGAUGUAUUAGGUUCUGCAAAGCAAGUGGCAAUGAUCAGCAAAUGCAUUUUUAAAAUGUUCUUCUCCUUUAAUAUCAGAUGACUAUAACUUAAUCUCUAGUUUGAGGGUUAUUCUUCUUACCCCUCCCCCCAAAAGAGGGUGUGGUCAGGGCAAUUAAGAAGACCAAUUAAGAGGGCCAUUUUAAUUUCUAGAAUGAGUCACCAUCUUAUUCUUACUAUUCUGUUGCUUUUGUAUUUAUGAGAAACAUAAAUUGAGACGUUGGGAUCUCUGAACUAACAAAGAAUUGUGUAUAAAUUACGACUCUAUUAAUUGAAAUAGAAGACUAUGGCAUUUGAUAAUCAGAUACAAAAAUGUCCAUAAUAAUUUGUAUUUACUUUCCAAACAGUUCUGUAGAACCAAGUUGGAAAUCCUUUAAGAAAUUAUAUUAUAAAAAUAAAGGCAUGGAAAAUCACAUUUGAUUUUGAAAGGGCAAAAACUUUUUUAAGUAAAAAAUUUAUUCCCUUUUUCAUUCUUUAAU